rnacentral:lncRNA from 1 species
AUUUCUUUUAAUUCCAUUUUAUUUCUAAAAUUCAUAUCUCUUUCAUUAUUGGUCCAAAAAUUAUGGGACUAAUUGCAUUAUUUCUCUUUUAAUUUCUAGUUUCUAAAAAUGAUUUUUAAUAUUUUUUAUUUUAUCAUUUGCUAUUUUUUAGUAAUUUUCUCUUUUCUGGUUAUUUUUAAUUCAUUUAAAAUAGUUUUUGAUAU